CAUAAGAUUAGUAAUUCUGAGACCCCUGGGGGUCCAUAGAUUCGAAUAUCCCUCUAUUCGUAGACCUAGUAUCAAGAUUUAAUAAUUAAGUUGACUGUCCUCAUACUCCGUCAGGUAAUGGGUGCCAAAAACACUAUCGCCUCGAUACCCCAUCUGAUAUGAGAGUGAAUCAUAUCACCCAAAACCCUUUCGGUAUGGGACUUCUCAAACCUGUUCGAUUAAGGUAAUGUUCACGGUAGGGUUCCCUAUAUAUUAGAUCCAUCCACAAUUU
rnacentral:lncRNA from 1 species